CGCAACGUGGGAAUGACGUUGGCGGCUUGGCGCCACAAUUGACUGCAGUCGAACUUCAAGCUGUCUGCAGUAAUCAGCACCAUCGGUUUCACGGUGGCUGGCUGCAAAAUGAUUUGGCAGUAAAGAGGAUGCAGACAGCAUUUGACCUGCGGCGACAGACCAUAGUGAAGACAUGCCCACCAGUGAAAAACCUCAUGGAACUCUGGCCUGCACUCAAAUAGAGUCUGAGGUGUAUUUAGAGUUCCAACGAAUUACAAUACAGAACCUGCCCAACAUAUUCUGCUCUGAGCUUGACCGACAUCUUCUUUCUGAAAAGAGUCAUCAGUCUAAAAGGACAACCAAAAUUGGGAAGACAUCAAAUGCUUUGACUGAAAUCCUAAGAAUCUACGAUUAACAGGAGGUACGUGACAUACACACCAAGUGUAUCACUGCUCUUCAUCUCCUUCCAGUCUAUCAACAUGAGGACGUCUCGGGGUUCUUCAGGACCUGCACAGACACAUCUGAUGAGCCAGAGCUUUAAGAUGUUGUAAAGGCCCUCCUUACAGUCAUCAUAGAUGACGACACAAGUCCAGUUCACUUCAAGCCUGAGAAAAUCUGUCAUCAUUGAAAGCGAGAUUUGGUCAACCUCUACAGAUUUACUGAUGCCUUUCUGGUAAUGUUUGGACUGAUCUAUGCACUACACCUCAGCUAUCCCAGGCGACUGACAACACACUUGAAUUCACUCAAAUGUUACUUUGCCUUAAUGAUGGAAAAGUGUCAUCUAAGUAACAGAGUCUCAAAAAGGACUUGAUGUGUAUGUAGAAAUGUAUCUAAAAAUGUGUUUUCUUCACAAUAUGCACAAUGUGCCUUUGUAUUUUCAAACGGUAUUUGUG